rnacentral:rRNA from 1 species
UACGAAGGUCCCAAGCGUUGUUCGGAAUCACUGGGCGUAAAGGGAGCGUAGGCGGCGUGGUAAGUCAGAUGUGAAAUCCCGGGGCUCAACCCCGGAACUGCAUCCGAUACUGCCGUGCUUGAGGGUUGGAGAGGUAGCUGGAAUUCUCGGUGUAGCAGUGAAAUGCGUGGAUAACGAGAGGAACACUCGUGGCGAAGGCGAGCUACUGGACAACAUCUGACGCUGAGGCUCGAAGGCCAGGGGAGCAAAAG